AUUGAACGCUGGCGGCAGGCUUAACACAUGCAAGUCGAACGAGGGGCGGGCGGGUGAGUAAUGCUUGGGAAUCUGGCUUAUGGAGGGGGAUAACUACGGGAAACUGUAGCUAAUACCGCGUAACAUGAGAUGAGCCCAAGGGGGCUUAGGUAGUUGGGGAGGUAAAGGUACACCAAGCCGAAGAUCUCUAGCGGGUCUGAGAGGGUGACCAGCCACACUGGGACUGAGACACGGCCUAGACUCCUACGGGAGGCAGCAGUGGGGAAUAUUGCGCAAUGGGGGCAACCUGACGCAGCCAUGCCGCGUGACUGAAGAAGGCCUUCGGGUUGUAAAGUUCUUUCGGUAGCGAGGCGUUAACUACAGAAGAAGCACCGGCUAACUCCGUGCCAGCAGCCGCGGUAAUUC
rnacentral:rRNA from 1 species